AUCACACCGGUCUCGUUCUUAAGGAGAUCCUCCACAGCUACAAGGGUUUCCAGCAGCUUAGCAGUUUGGUUGAUGUUGACGGUGGUCUUGGAAUCACACUCAACCUUAUCACUUCCAAAUAUCCCUCUAUUAAAGGAAUUAAUUUUGACUUACCUCAUGUUAUACAACAUGCUCCUGCCUACCCUGGUAACACUAUCUUUUCUUUAUAUUACUUGGUCAUAGGCAGUUUUAUGAUAGACGAUGGCUGAAAGGGUUUUUGGAGUUCUUUGAUUGCCAAAUGGCAUGUUUAUGCCUGAUUACAUAAUGAUAAUCAACAAAUACUUACAUAAUGAUAAUCAACAAAUACUAUGUAAUGACAGGUGUCCAACAUGUAGGGGGAGAUAUGUUUGAAAGUGUUCCUAAAGGAGAUAAAAUUUUUAUGAAGGUAAGAUAAUAUCAUUUGCGUUCAUUAGUUGCAGUUCUGAGUUACAAUAUUCAAUCAUCUCUCACCAGUAAUAGUUAAUUAUUAGGCUCUCUUUAAUUAUCGGAUGUUCGACUUUUAUUAUCAAAAGUUGUUCUUAGGGAUGUAAAUUAAUAUACCGUACAGUUGAUUUCAUAUAAUCAUAAUUCAAGAAUUGAAUAUUUUGAGAGAAGUUUUUAAAGUGUCAUUUAUUAAACAAUCGGUUGAACACUCAACAAUGGUAAGGUAUUGUCUUUGUGGUCGGGGUUUUGUCUCCCUCCACCAAGAGUUGUAUACAAUUUAUAAAGGGCAAGUGCUUUGGUUGAUAGAGAUGUGAGGCAAGACUCACUAAAGAGGUGUUAAUAUAGCGUGUGAUACAAUUAUGAAAGUUACCCGCACACUGGGGGAUUCGAACCUACAUUGUAACUCAAUUUUGUGGCCUAUAUGACUUAGGUACAUGGUUUGAGUUUCGUUGCAUGCAAGUGACUUCCAUAAUUAUUGUUAAAUGUUAUACUAAUAUCUUUCCCCUAAGCCUUACUGUUUGAUGGAUGACACUUUAAAGAUUUUUCUUGAAAGAAUCAACCCCUCAAUAAUGAAUAAAUUUAGAGUUAAAACCUCAACAUUUACAACAUUUUCCUUUAUUAUCAUAUUUUAUAUUUAGGCCUAUUUUAUGCACAACAAAUUAACUUGAAAAAUAAAUCAUAUAGUGGAUUCUUCAUGAUUGGAGCGACGAUCAUUGCUUGAAGCUAUUGAAGAAUUGUUACAAUGCCAUUCCAAAAGACGGAAAAGUAAUAGUGGUGGAGGCAGUGGUUCCGGUUGUACCGGAAGCUAAUGCCUAUUUGAGAAGCAUCACACAGCUUGAUGUGCUGAUGAUGGCGCAAAAUCCUGGAGGAAAGGAAAGAACCAAAUCGGAAUUUGAAGCGUUAGCUACUAAAGCCGGAUUCAGUGGCGUCAGAUAUGAGUGUUUUGCUUGUAACUACUGGAUCAUGGAGUUCUUCAAGUAAUUGGAUUUCAUAUCAUUGCUAAGCUACCAAUGCAACCGAAAGAAUAAAAGUGGAUGCUUGUAUUUCCUUUAUUGGAAUUAAAUUGGAUAUAAUGUUUAUUAUUUUUUAUUAAUUUUAUUCGUAACUAAAUACUUUCUUAAAUUAAUUAUUAUAUAAAUUGAUUUGAUUUUAGAUUUUGUACUUAGGGAUAUUUUUAUUCUCUCAAAUAUCAUUGAUAAUUUUAUAAUAGUUAAUAUUUUUUAGAAUUUACAGUUAUGUAUUUAUGUGAUUUUAAUUUAUACUACAUACAUGACAUAAAAAAUUAUAAUAUAAUUGCAUUCUAUCGAUCAAACAUGUCUAAAAAUUAAAUUUCUUUAUAAUUAUAAUAAGAUGUAAUUACCAUUCUAAUAAUUAUACUUUUAUCUAGUUAUUGUAUGCGGUCAAAAUGCACCCUUAACAUAAACUUUUACUUUGCUCAUUAUAAGGUCUGCCUCAUUGAUAGUGCAACCUCAUGCCGAUUGGAUUGUCAAGUUGUAACAUGUUUAUAGGGCAGAUUUCAUGGCGAAACUUUCACGAGAUAGCCGGCAAUAACUCUAUAGUUUCAAUACUCUACCUGCAGGGUGUGGUCUCGUGUGGAAUGGAUGCAGGAUCUACUUGGCUUAAAUAAUGUUAUUUAGCUAUUUUUCUGAUUUUAUUUAUUUACAGAGUAGCAUUUAUCCUUUUGUAUAACUCAUUUUUCCAAUUUUGUAUUAAUCAUAGAAAGGUUAAUAUUGAUAGGAAAUAAAUGGAAAACUGUAAUAAUCAAUAAGAACCAUCAUUUCAUUCAUUUAUAGGAACAGAGUCGAAGGUUGCUUUAUGCUAGUGUAAUAGGUUAGAGUUUUCACCAAUGGUUUUUGAAUUAAUGAUUUUUUAUUUUAUUUUAUUUUAUUUUUAAAUAACGUUUAUCAUGUGUUGUAGCAUUAUAUUAUUUGAUGCGAGUAUUUAAUGAGUAUUAAAUCAUAAAGAAAUUGAAAUAAAGUUGAUGAUUUGGUUCAAUUCUCUGCAUUAAAUGAAGUUACUAUUUCAUUAUUUAUUUGGUUAGGAAAAGGGCCCACAUUCCACUAAAAUUUCAAAUCUCUUUUUCGUGGGUUGGCAUCCAUUUAACAUUCAUUUCCAAAAUUUACCCUUUAUUUUAAAAGAAUCCAAGAUACAAUAAUGCAAAACAAGAAUCGUCCACCAUUCUUCACGCAUUUACUCCACAGUUAGAUGGCCUCUUCCACCUUCAUUUUUUUCUUUUUAAUAAUUGAUGGCAUAAUGACAUGAGCUAAAGGGGCAGUGUUUAUAUCAUGUUUCUCGAGGUGCUUGAAUCUGCCCCUCCGACUACAGUAAUUAUUUAGAGAAAUUGCUAUAAAAAGUGAGAUAUUUUCACCAGUUCAAUCAACUCGUCCCAACAUUUUCAAAUUUUUCAUUGACCGAGAGAUAUAGGGAUUGUUCUCCAAUGGCAACCCAAAUUGAUUGUAACAAUGAGGAAAGCUUCUCAUAUGCCCUCCAAAUCGUCACCUCUUCAGUACUGCCCAUGUCGAUGCAUGCGGCGGUUCAGCUGGACAUCUUCGGAAUCAUGGCGAAAUGCGGGCCAGAUGCUGAACUCUCCGCCAAGGAGAUCGCGGCACAGUUGGCUACCAACAACUCAGAGGCGGCCUCCAUGCUGGACCGAAUCCUUUUAUUGUUAGCCAGCCAUGGAAUCGUGGGCUGCUCCGUGGUGGAUGAGGAAAAGGGUAAUCCUCGUAAGCUGUACAGUUUGACGCCAGUCUCCAAAUUAUUUGUGCGGAAUGAAGAUGGGGUUUCCUUAGGCCCUUUGAUGGCAUUGCUUCAAGACAAGGUCUUCAUUGAUAGUUGGUGUGUUUCUUCUUCCCUCUCACUCUCUCUCUCUCUUAGUUACUUAUUUUAUUUCUUAGACUUGAUUGUUCUUAACCCAUCUUCACUUUUGAUAUAUAAAUUCUUAAAAGUUAUAGUCCACAGAUUUUAUCAGUUUGUAGAAUAAGGAAGACAUGAACAUUAUAAUUUAAAGAAAGUUCGAGGAUAUAUUUAUAUCACCCAAGUACGUAUCUUAAAUUCUUAAUAUAUGUCAAGUUAUUGGAUUUUUUAUAAAAAUAACCCAAAUAAUUUAAUUAAGUAUCAAAAUUAUUCAUUUUUUUAAUUAAACAUGAAAAUGACUCUAAAUUUACAGUAAAAGUUGGUGGAGCCAAAUUAUAUGACGCCACCAACUUGCCACGUCAGCAAGGAGCAUAAAAAAAUUAACUUUUUUGUGGAGCCAUGUAGAAUGGCGCCACCUGUAUAAAUAUCAGAGAAAUACAGAAAUUUCUAAAAAUAUGUGGAGAUUUCAAAAAAAUUAACUAUUUUCUGGUAGAGUCAAUUAAUAUGGCGCCACCAGAUUCUCCUACCAUGUCAGUUUUUUUUUUAUUUUUUUAUGUUUUAUGUUUUAUCUUUAUUUUAUUUUAUUUUAUUUAUUUAUUAUUAUUAACUUAAAAAAAUUUAAAAUAUAUAUGUGAAAUAUUUUAUUAAUAUAUAUUUUUUAUUUUUUAAUUUUUUUAAAUAUUAAAUAUUAUUUUUUAAUAAUAUAAAAUAUUUAAAUAUUUUAAACUUUUAAAUUUGUUAUUAGUUUUAUAAUAUUUUAAAUAUUAUUUAAUUUGUUUUAUAAUAUUUUAAAAUUUUUAUAUAUACUAUAGAAGUAUAAAUUAACAGUGUUUUUAAUGGUAAUUAUUUAUUAUUAUAGGUAAAACGAAAAAUAAUAUUAUAGUGGAUUUUUUUUCAAAGUAAAUGACAUACUUAUUUCUAGGGUUAAUGUGUAUUUUAAUCCCAAAUUUGAUAAUAUAUAUUUAAUUAUUAUUGGAAAACUAUUAAUUAAGUUGAUUUUUUUUAGGUACCUAAUUAAUCUUGUUAACUUUUGUACCGAUAACUAAUAAAAUAGUGACACAUGUAUUAAAAUUUUAAAAAUAUUUUGUAGUAUAAUUUUUAGAAUCUUUUGAUUUUUUUAAAUUUUAUGUGCAUAUAAACAAAUACCCAAAAAAAAUUUUGGAGGGCCAAAACUAAAUUAUAUAUAUUUAUAAGAAUUAAAAUGUAAUUUCACCAAUAUGUUAACUUAAAUAUUUAUAGGUUUUAGAAGAAUGGAAUCAAAAUUUAAUAUUUUUUAGAAUAAAUUAUAAUUUUUCCAUAUAUUAUUUAUAACUUUAUAAAUUCUAAAGGAUUUGGGGGAUAGUGCCUCUGGUAGCCCCCUUUUGCUGCCUCUGAACAAACAAAUGAUAUCCAUAUUUAGAUGAAUCUGGAAAUUAAUUUAAAAAAUAAAUUUAAUUUUUUAUAAUUAAAAAUAAUAAUAUGAAAAAGAAUUUAGAUACUAUUAUUUUAGGAUUUUUCUGUAUUUUAUGAUAUUUUAGAUUUUUUUCUUUAAUUUUUAGUUUUUAAAAAAUUAUAUAGAUUAAAUGAUUUUUAUUUUUAUUUUAAUUUUAAAACACGUUUGUCAUGUGUUGUAAUUAGAGGCGAGUAUUAAAUGAGUAUUAGAUACAAUAGUGCAAGUUGUACCCCUAAUAACUCAAUCAUGUAGAGCAAAACAAGAAUCAUCCACCAUUCUUCACGCAUUUACUCCACUUUUACAUAUCUCUUUCACGGACUUCCAUUGUACUUUUACAGUCACUAAUUCUAUUUAAUUUGUUUAUACAACUAGCUCUAUUUUUAUUAUAAUAAACUAGUUUUAUUUAAUUAAUCUCACUAUUAAAUAAUUUAUCUCUUCAUUUCGUAACGAAAAUUAAAAAAAAAAAAGACAUAGGAAAUUCUAUAUGCUCAUUUUCAAAACAAAGAGUUGCCCACUUCGCCCAACUAUUAACUCUGUUUCUCUAUCUUAUCAUCAAAUUCCUGCAUGAUAGGUCGCAACUGAAGGAUGCAAUUAUAGAAGGAGGAGUUCCAUUUGACAGGGUACAUGGAUCAAACACAUUUGAAUAUCCAGGCAAGGACCCAAGGUUCAAUCAAAUUUUCAAUACUGCAAUGAUCAAUCACACCAGUCUCGUUCUUAAGGAGAUCCUCCACAACUACAAGGGUUUCCAGCAGCUUAGCAGUUUGGUUGAUGUUGGCGGUGGUCUUGGAAUCACACUCAACCUUAUCACUUCCAAAUAUCCCUCUAUUAAAGGAAUUAAUUUUGACUUACCUCAUGUUAUACAACAUGCUCCUGCCUACCCUGGUAACUAUCUUUUCUUUAUACUACUUUGUCAUAGGCACUUUUAUGAUGGACAAUGGCUAGAAGGGUUUUUGGAGUUCUUUGAUUGCCAAAUGGCAUGUUUAUGCCUGAUUACAUAAUG
rnacentral:lncRNA from 1 species